rnacentral:rRNA from 1 species
UACGUAGGGUGCGAGCGUUAAUCGGAAUUACUGGGCGUAAAGCGUGCGCAGGCGGUUUUGCAAGCCGGAUGUGAAAUCCCCGGGCUCAACCUGGGAAUGGCAUUCGGGACUGCAAGGCUGGAGUGCGGCAGAGGAGACUGGAAUUCCUGGUGUAGCAGUGAAAUGCGUAGAUAUCAGGAGGAAUACCGAUGGCGAAGGCAGGUCUCUGGGCUGAAACUGACGCUCAUGCACGAAAGCGUGGGGAGCAAACAGG